GUUAAAGACGCGCUGAGUUCAGCACAAGUGGAAACGGGGGACCCAUCAUUUUGGGGUGAAUCCGGCUUUUGCCGGUAGGGCUGUCUCUUUAGCCCGAAUCUGUCAGCUAACUUCGGAAGCGCUUCCCAGAGAGAAAAA
rnacentral:sRNA from 2 species